rnacentral:rRNA from 1 species
GACGAACGCGGCGGCGUGCCUAAUACAUGCAAGUCGAACGAACCGCGACUAGGUGCUUGCACUUGGUCAAGGUGAGUGGCGAACGGGUGAGUAACACGUGGGUAACCUACCUCAUAGGGGGGGAUAACAGUCGGAAACGACUGCUAAUACCGCAUAGGACAUGGGAUCACAUGAUUCUGUGAGGAAAGGUGGCGCAAGCUAUCGCUAAGAGAUGGACCCGCGGUGCAUAGCUAGUUGGUAGGGUAACGGCCUACCAAGGCGAUGAUGCAUAGCCGACCUGAGAGGGUGAUCGGCCACAUUGGGACUGAGACACGGCCCAAACUCCUACGGGAGGCAGCAGUAGGGAAUCUUCCGCAAUGGACGCAAGUCUGACGGAGCAACGCCGCGUGAGUGAAGAAGGUCUUCGGAUCGUAAAGCUCUGCUGUUAGAGAAGAACAGCGCAUAGAGUAAACUGUUAUGCGU